UUCACAUAGCCCUCCCACAAUAUAUCUGUCAUAGAUCUCAACAUUUCACACUCCAAAAUUAACACGGAAUCAGCUUGAAUUCAGUUUGAUGUCCUAAUAUGAAGCAUUCAGACAUUCUAAGGCUGCUCACAUAGUAGCACUGAUUACAUCCCUUUCCCUAGAUGUGCAUUUGUAAUGAAUGUGAUGAACAGUCAUUCCAAUAUGAUGUAUGGUAUUUCAUUAAAUGAUGUAAUGAGACAGAAAUUCUAUGAACAAUUAUAACUAAUGCAUUUUGUUUUACAUGAUCAUUAUUCAUGACUCUCCAUCUUGGAUAAUGGAUGAUCUGAAGACCGUUCAGUGUAUUUACAACAUGAGACCCAAGAGGACAAGUUGAAGAGGGAGGCAUCAGCUGUUGAGCUUGAGUUGAAGAUGGAAAAAGAAUUAAAAGAGAUAUUAAGAGAUGAGAUGAUGAAACAACUAGAGGAGAAAGACAAACAACUGGAUGAUAUGACCCAGGAAGUGAGAGAGAAAGAGAGACUACUGGAGGGAAAAGAUAAUGAAAUAAAGGAGAAGAAGGUUGAACUAGGAGACAAAGACAAGAAAAUAAAGGAAAAAGACCAUCAACUAGAGGAGAGAAACUAUAGACUGGAUGAUAUGACCCAGGAAGUGAGAGAGAG